CGCGAUAUUAUUCCUGUGAAUUUGUUAGUUACAAUCACAGGAUAAUACUGCGAG
rnacentral:pre_miRNA from 1 species